GUGGAUGAGAGGGAGACAGAGAAGAGAGGUGAGAGAGUAAUAGGAUACGGCAUGUGUCAAAAUUGAUUGAUUGCUGACCUUAUGACCUGAUGACAUGUACAGAAUAUGUGCCCCCGCCCCGCCCCCUGUUCGUGUGGUCAUGUGUUAGAGGGUGUUUGAACUUUUGGGGCCCAUGCCCCCCUCCACCCCCCAGUUUUAUCUCCCUUAUGGUUGUUAUCUAUGAAGCAGGAAUGUCUGGGGCUAUAGAUAGCGCUGGGGCCUCAGCAUUAUAAAUGUCCAGAACAAGCCAUUUUUUAAGACCUGAAUAUUAAGCAUCUAAAAAUAUGUCUACAAGGGGAAUUCUCGGAGUGCUCUGUAGCUCAUGUCACGAACCCAAUGCCAAAAGCUUGGAGGAUAUUUUGGUAGAGGCUCCCGAAUGUUUUAACGGAUUUCUGUGUACAAGCGAGGGCCAUAUUUCGUACAUAUUCAACCCGGAGGAAUCUACGGUUAAGAUAUUCACAGACAGCGUGUCCCAACCCUUUUAUCGUGCAGAACCCGAGCCUUUUUCUCUAGCGCUAAGGAUGCGAGAAUGGCUUAAAAUAAGGCUAGCUUUGUGUCAAAUGGAACGUGCCCUGAGUGCUUCAAGGCUGCCAGGAUAUGCGUUGGAAGAACAAGUCUGUGGACGUCAGGAUCUAAUGGCCCUGAGAGUCACAUCCAUGGGUUAUACCCCGGACUCCAGAGUGACAAUUUUAGCAUGUGAACAAUUUGACAGGUCAAAUGCUACGAAAACGGUCAGUUCAUAUGUAUCCUCCAAAGCAUGCAAGGAUGUAAAUUUUUUUCAAAUAAUGUUCAGUUUUAAAUGGCGCGAUUACCACAUUUUCCGAACCCUGAUGAAUAAGCUGGACAGUCUUUUCGAAAAUCGUGAACAAUUACGGCGAUGGCCUAGGUUAUCGUUGAGACAUACCCCGGAACAACAUAGGUUAUCGUUGAGACAUACACCGGAACAACAACAAGUUCGAAGGCGGAUCUUUCCCUGGCAGGAAAGUGGACAGAGCUUCGACGGAGCGCGGAAAAGACUUUGUGAUGGGGAAAUGGAAACGGAUAAUGUUCAGGGCUAACAGGACCCCAUAUAUCUCUUUUACGCGAUUUACCUGAUCUGGAACAUGAUGGGGGUUCGCAGGAGCAAAAGUCUGGCAGACAAUCACCAACGGCCUUUUUUCGUUCCGACAUACAGCCCUUUAUGAUAAAGGAUGCGUUAUGGACAGCUGACACGCAGGACUUUGAUGCAAUUCUACCGUUCACUGUGGCCCAAGUACACUGCUCAGAAUCAAGCCCACCCGAAAACUACUGUUGGGCCGGGAACUUGCUGCUUCACGAGCCGGCGCUCCAGGGACAAGACUGCCCGGAGACAGACCCAGCAGAAUCUGGUCACACACCCCCGGUUUCGGCGAUUCGUCACAACAAGCGCCAAAAAAAGCCGAGACUCCGCACCGGCGAAAAACGGCACAGACGACCACAUAAAUCUAGAGCUGGGGGAUUCCGGCGCCCCGAGCAUUCCGAAUGAAACACCCAAGAGACCUGUUUUUAAUGACAUGUCAGAUGUUGAUGACCAGCUAUUCUGUGAUGCGGCCAACCUUAUAGACCCAGUCAAUUCUACGGCCUCAAUACCUGCAGCCGAACAAGAAAGGUUUUUCACAUUAUUUUCCAGGGCUUUGAAAUCGAGGAAUGUUUUGCUAUACAAACGACUGGGGGAUUUAAUUGAGAGACAGUACAGAGACGAUAUGUUAUUCUGGCAUAGAACAAUUCCACGCAUGUUAAACAGCA